UUCGGGAUGCCGGCGAGUGGCGAACGGGUGAGUAACACGUGGAGACCUACCCUGGGGUGGGGGAUAACAGCUAGAAAUGGCUGCUAAUACCGCAUACGCCUUACGAGGGAAAGAUUUAUUGCCCCAGGAGGGUCCCGCGUCGGAUUAGCUUGUUGGUGGGGUAACGGCCUACCAAGGCGACGAUCCGUAGCUGGUCUUAGAGGAUGAUCAGCCACACUGGGACUGAGACACGGCCCAGACUCCUACGGGAGGCAGCAGUGGGGAAUAUUGCGCAAUGGAGGCAACUCUGACGCAGCGAUGCCGCGUGGGUGAAUAAGGCCUUAGGGUUGUAAAGCCCUUUCAGUGGGGACGAUGAUGACGGUACCCACAGAAGAAGCCCCGGCUAACUCCGUGCCAGCAGCCGCGGUAAUACGGAGGGGGCGAGCGUUGU
rnacentral:rRNA from 1 species